rnacentral:rRNA from 1 species
UUGAACACUGGCGGCAGGCCUAACACAUGCAAGUCGAGCGGUAGCACAGAGAGCUUGCUCUCGGGUGACGAGCGGCGGACGGGUGAGUAAUGUCUGGGAAACUGCCUGAUGGAGGGGGAUAACUACUGGAAACGGUAGCUAAUACCGCAUGACGUCGCAAGACCAAAGUGGGGGACCUUCGGGCCUCAUGCCAUCAGAUGUGCCCAGAUGGGAUUAGCUGGUAGGUGGGGUAACGGCUCACCUAGGCGACGAUCCCUAGCUGGUCUGAGAGGAUGACCAGCCACACUGGAACUGAGACACGGUCCAGACUCCUACGGGAGGCAGCAGUGGGGAAUAUUGCACAAUGGGCGCAAGCCUGAUGCAGCCAUGCCGCGUGUGUGAAGAAGGCCUUCGGGUUGUAAAGCACUUUCAGCGGGGAGGAAGGCGGUGAGGUUAAUAACCUCAUCGAUUGACGUUACCCGCAGAAGAAGCACCGGCUAACUCCGUGCCAGCAGCCGCGGUAAUACGGAGGGUGCAAGCGUUAAUCGGAAUUACUGGGCGUAAAGCGCACGCAGGCGGUCUGUCAAGUCGGAUGUGAAAUCCCCGGGCUCAACCUGGGAACUGCAUUCGAAACUGGCAGGCUAGAGUCUUGUAGAGGGGGGGUAGAAUUCCAGGUGUAGCGGUGAAAUGCGUAGAGAUCUGGAGGAAUACCGGUGGCGAAGGCGGCCCCCUGGACAAAGACUGACGCUCAGGUGCGAAAGCGUGGGGAGCAAACAGGAUUAGAUACCCUGGUAGUCCACGCUGUAAACGAUGUCGAUUUGGAGGUUGUGCCCUUGAGGCGUGGCUUCCGGAGCUAACGCGUUAAAUCGACCGCCUGGGGAGUACGGCCGCAAGGUUAAAACUCAAAUGAAUUGACGGGGGCCCGCACAAGCGGUGGAGCAUGUGGUUUAAUUCGAUGCAACGCGAAGAACCUUACCUGGUCUUGACAUCCACAGAACUUUCCAGAGAUGGAUUGGUGCCUUCGGGAACUGUGAGACAGGUGCUGCAUGGCUGUCGUCAGCUCGUGUUGUGAAAUGUUGGGUUAAGUCCCGCAACGAGCGCAACCCUUAUCCUUUGUUGCCAGCGGUCCGGCCGGGAACUCAAAGGAGACUGCCAGUGAUAAACUGGAGGAAGGUGGGGAUGACGUCAAGUCAUCAUGGCCCUUACGACCAGGGCUACACACGUGCUACAAUGGCAUAUACAAAGAGAAGCGACCUCGCGAGAGCAAGCGGACCUCAUAAAGUAUGUCGUAGUCCGGAUUGGAGUCUGCAACUCGACUCCAUGAAGUCGGAAUCGCUAGUAAUCGUAGAUCAGAAUGCUACGGUGAAUACGUUCCCGGGCCUUGUACACACCGCCCGUCACACCAUGGGAGUGGGUUGCAAAAGAAGUAGGUAGCUUAACCUUCGGGAGGGCGCUUACCACUUUGUGAUUCAUGACUGGGGUG